rnacentral:misc_RNA from 1 species
GAUGAAGAACGUAGCGAAAUGCGAUAAGUAAUGCGAAUUGCAGAAUUCCGUGAGUCAUCGAAUCUUUGAACGCACAUUACGCCCUUUGGCAUUCCGAAGGGCAUGCCUGUUCGAGCGUCAUUUAUCAACCCUCAAGCCCGGCUUGCGGUUGGGUCCCGCCGUGGGCGACCACGGCGGACCCGAAAGGUAAUGGCGGUGCCCGUGGGGCCCUGGACGCAGCGAGCUUCUCGGCACGCGUCCCGGCGGUCCCCGGCGCCGUCUCCACCAAUCCACCACGCAGAUUGACCUCGGAUCAGGUAGGGAUACCCGCUGAACUUAAGCAUAUCAAUAAGCGGAGG